rnacentral:lncRNA from 1 species
GCCAGCAGACACGUGCCUUCUCAUAUGAUGGAGUGUGGUGACUCUUCUCUGCUGCUCUGUGUUUACACAGCCAACUCUCAGGCAGGAUUCUCAACUGGACCAUACAAUGUGAACAUGGCAGAGGAAUAAACUUAUGUAAAACACAGUCAAACCAAAUUUCCUUUAUGGGAAGACUGCUGGGUAGAGUGGACUCAAGUACAACAAAUUUAAGUUUCAGGCCCCUGGCCAGGUAGCCAGUUCUUUUGCUGCUAUUAGGACCACUCUUGGAACCAGCUGUCUCAGAUGUAGAGAUGCGGCCUCGCAUGCAACUAUCUUCCUGGCAAGGAAUAAGAAAGGAAGUACUAGAAAGAAUGAAACAGGGAAGGAGGGAAAGCUAAUUCAAGGUACCCUAUUGACCAGGCACGGUGGCUGAUGCCUGUAAUCCCAGCACUUUGGAAGGCCGAG